AGCGGCGGACGGGUGAGUAACGCGUGGGUAACCUGCCUCAUACAGGGGGAUAACAGUUAGAAAUGACUGCUAAUACCGCAUAAGACCACGGUACCGCAUGGUACAGUGGUAGAAACUCCGGUGGUAUGAGAUGGACCCGCGUCUGAUUAGGUAGUUGGUGGGGUAACGGCCUACCAAGCCGACGAUCAGUAGCCGACCUGAGAGGGUGACCGGCCACAUUGGGACUGAGACACGGCCCAG
rnacentral:rRNA from 1 species